CCUACGGGAGGCAGCAGUGGGGAAUAUUGGACAAUGGGCGAAAGCCUGAUCCAGCAAUGCCGCGUGAGUGAUGAAGGCCUUCGGGUCGUAAAGCUCUUUUACCAGGGAUGAUAAUGACAGUACCUGGAGAAUAAGCUCCGGCUAACUCCGUGCCAGCAGCCGCGGUAAUACGGAGGGAGCUAGCGUUGUUCGGAAUUACUGGGCGUAAAGAGUACGUAGGCGGUUAUUCAAGUCAGAGGUGAAAGCCCGGGGCUCAACCCCGGAACUGCCUUUGAAACUAGAUAACUAGAGUCUUGGAGAGGUUAGUGGAAUUCCGAGUGUAGAGGUGAAAUUCGUAGAUAUUCGGAAGAACACCAGUGGCGAAGGCGACUAACUGGACAAGUACUGACGCUGAGGUACGAAAGCGUGGGGAGCAAACAGGAUUAGAUACCCUGGUAGUCCACGCCGUAAACGAUGAUAACUAGUUGUUCGGUCACUUGGUGUACUGAGUGACGCGAGACUACGACAUUAAGUUAUCCGUCCGUCGGGUAGGUACGGUCGCGAGAAUUAAACUUAAAUUAGUAAUUAGUACGGCGUGAGACGUGCCGACGGACGACGACGAGGGAGUAGG
rnacentral:rRNA from 1 species